UUUCACUUCUCAAAAGCAGAAUCAGAAGCGUUCUCUUCAUUCAUUCAAGGUGUGUUGACUCUUACCAUGAAUGGCGUGGGAAAAGAAGUUGGCUCGAUAUUGACAGGAUAUCUGUUUAGAGAAUGUGGCAUUAAAACAACCUUGUGUGGAUACUCAGUAAUUUCUUUUGUAUGGUUCAUAUUUCUGGCAGUUUACACUUUCAGCAGUCAAGAGGCUCAUAACUACAAGAGAGUAAAAACAGAAGCUGAGAGUGAUAUCGAUGAAGAGAAACUCCCAUAAUAAAAACUAUUUCAACUUACCAUUACUGAAAAAGGUUUUGUCAGUAAAUAGGUUAUUUUGUGAUGCAAAACAUGUACUACUUAUUUACCGCUGUGCCUGGUGGCCUGGUAAUGUAAUUUUUAAUGAAAAUUUUAUUGCUCGUUUGCUGUAAUCAGCAAAGUAUCGAAUCAAUUAAAAUGAAUGGCAUGCUUCAAUUUUGUAAUUAACAGCAGCUGCAAUUCGUAUUAGAUUUUCUAAAUAUUUCUGCUGGUAAUAGCAAUUGUCGUUUCCUGAAUCUGUUCUUACAUUGGACUUCAGCCCAAUUUUUUCCGAUAAACCAUUAAAAAUGAAAAGUAUCUGUUUGAUAAUAUCUAUGUUAUGUGUAAAAGGAUUUGCAUGCCCUUAAUAUGUGUUGUUUCAUAUAA